ACUGUAGCUUGAUGGUGGAGCAUCUGCUGUGCAUGCAGAACGUCCCAGGUUUAAUCCCUGGCAUAUUUA